rnacentral:sRNA from 1 species
CUCCUUCUUUGCACUGCUCCUCAGCCGCUGGACCUGUGUCUCAUACGCAAAAGCGUUCUGCGGCGCCGCCUUCGUGCCUGGUACGAUUGACUACUGGCCAAGUCUCAAACACACCGUUACUAGUCCUCUGCCAUCAUUGGUAUUGUGUUCCAAUUAUUGGGUCCAGGCUUUGGCCGUGCGGCCCGUCUGGGCUGGAAGGGUUCAGCUUGGCUACGUAGAGUAUUUUCCUCCAUAGUCGACUAAUGACAUCCAUCCAUUGCCUGGACACUGCAACUCACAAGCGAACUCUGAGAACAAUGAACCAUGAGAGGCAGCUAAAAGUUACGCGAUGACAUGAGAGAGGUGGUGAUAUUUCUUCCCGAGUCGCCACCCUUUGCUUUUUGCUCGAACGUCAACUUGCACGGAACAUUUCACGUCCAAAUAUUAUUGUCACUGGACAAUUCACCAAACGGGGAGAGCAGAACGAGCCUAUUAUUUAAGAGAAUACAAUGGAUAUUUAUUCUAGUAUUUUUUGCACACAAGUUACUUAC